CUGAACGCUGGCGGCGUGGCUAAGACAUGCAAGUCGUACGGGUGCAGCAAUGCAUCAGUGGCGAACGGGUGAGUAAUGUAUCGCUAACGUGCCCUUGAGUCCGGGAUAGCCGUCCGAAAGGACGGGUAAUACCGGGUAAGACCACAAUCCCGCAUGGGAUGGUGCUCAAAGGAGCAAUCCGCUGAAGGUGCGGGCGAUAUCGUAUCAGCUAGUUGGUGAGGUAACGGCUCACCAAGGCGACGACGCGUAGCCGGGCUGAGAGGUCGGCCGGCCACAUUGGGACUGAGACACUGCCCAGACUCCUACGGGGGGCUGCAGUAACGAAUCUUCCGCAAUGCACGAAAGUGUGACGGAGCGACGCCGCGUGGAGGACGAAGUUCUUCGGAAUGUAAACUCCUGUCAGGGGUAAGAAAGUUCUGAUCUACCCCAGAGGAAGGCACGGCUAACUCUGUGCCAGCAGCCGCGGUAAGACAGAGGUGCCGAGCGUUAGGCGGAAUCACUGGGCUUAAAGCGUGUGUAGGCGGGCGGGCAAGUACCUUGUGAAAUCCCACGGCUCAACCGUGGAACGGCUGGGUAUACUGCCUGUCUUGAGCCAACUAGGGGCGAGCGGAACAGACGGUGGAGCGGUGAAAUGCGUAGAUAUCGUCUGGAACGCCGAAGGUGAAAACAGCUCGCUGGGGUUGUGCUGACGCUGAGACACGAAAGCCAGGGGAGCGAACGGGAUUAGAUACCCCGGUAGUCCUGGCCCUAAACGAUGUCGACUAGAUCGUGGUCCCUUUGACGGGUUCACGGUCGAAGCAAAAGUGCUAAGUCGACCGCCUGGGAAGUACGGUCGCAAGGCUAAAACUCAAAGGAAUUGACGGGGGCUCACACAAGCGGUGGAGCAUGUGGAUCAAUUCGAAGCAACGCGAAGAACCUUACCUGGGUUUGACAUGCACGGAUGCCGUCCAUGAAAGUGGAGCCGGCUGCCUUCGGGUGAAACGCGUACAGGUGCUGCAUGGCUGUCGUCAGCUCGUGCUGUGAAGUGUCGGGUUAAGUCCCUUAACGAGCGAAACCCUUAUCGCUAGUUGCCAGCGGGUCAUGCCGGGAACUCUAGUGAGACUGCCGGCGUCAAGCCGGAGGAAGGCGGGGACGACGUCAAGUCAUCAUGGCCUUUAUGCCCAGGGUGUCACACGUGCUACAAUGGGGUGGCACAGAGCGACGCAAGACCGUAAGGUGGAGCAAAUCGCAGAAAACACCCCUCAGUUCGGAUUGAGGUCUGCAACCCGACCUCAUGAAGCUGGAAUCGCUAGUAAUCGCGUAUCAGCCAUGACGCGGUGAAUAUGUUCCUGAGCCUUGUACACACCGCCCGUCAAGUCAUGGGAGCUGGGAAUGCCCGAAGUCGCGCGGACUCACGCGUGCCGACGGCAAGCCCGGUGACUGGGACU
rnacentral:rRNA from 1 species